GACGGGGGAUGCAAGUGUUAUCCGGAAUCACUGGGCGUAAAGCGUCUGCAGGUGGUUUCCUAAGUCCACUGUUAAACCUUGAGGCUCAACCUCAAAUCUGCAUUGGAAACUAGGAGACUUGAGUAUAGUAGGGGUAGAGGGAAUUUCCAGUGGAGCGGUGAAAUGCGUAGAUAUUGGGAGGAACACCAGUGGCGAAGGCGGCUCACUGGACCGGAACUGACGCUGAGGCGCGAAAGCGUGGGGAGCAAACAGG
rnacentral:rRNA from 1 species